rnacentral:rRNA from 2 species
ACGAACGCUGGCGGCGUGCUUAACACAUGCAAGUCGAACGGUGACGGUGGGAGCUUGCUCCUACCUGAUCAGUGGCGAACGGGUGAGUAACACGUGAGUAACCUGCCCCAGACUCUGGAAUAACCCCGGGAAACCGGAGCUAAUACCGGAUACGAGACGAAGCUGCAUGGCUAUCGUCUGGAAAGUUUUUCGGUCUGGGAUGGACUCGCGGCCUAUCAGCUUGUUGGUGAGGUAAUGGCUCACCAAGGCGACGACGGGUAGCCG